rnacentral:lncRNA from 1 species
UUAGCAGCGGAGCCCCGAGCCCCUCUCGACUUCAGUAUAGAUUUUUCGCUAGAAUUUACAUAUGCAUGCUCCACAACCUAUGUUCGUACAAACACAGAUCAUAUGGAACGAGAAAUAUGCUCUGGUCGGAAAGCAGAGUCGUGGACAAAAGUGAAGUUCACAAAUGACCAUCAUACAUAGGCCAUUGUUUCAACUUGUAGUUUAGGCCUUGCCGGACUCCUCGCAACCUGGUGGCCUGAAGGCGAUGAAGCUGACGCACUGCACCUGGCGCAGGUUGUCGAAGCCGAUGACACGGACAUAGGCAUCAGGGUACUCCUUCUUGACCUCCUCCACCUCGUUGAGCACCUGCGUGGCGUCGGUGCACCCGAACAUAGGCAGCUUCCACAUUGUCCAGUAUCGACCGUCGUAGUACCCGGGAGAGCUGUUGUGCUCACGGAAGACGAAGCCAACCUUGCUGAACUCGAGGCAGGGCACCCACUUGGAGCGGAUCAGGUAGUCUACCUGCUUUAGGAGGGCCUCUGUGGAGAGGGGUGGCAAGUAAGACAGGGUCUCGAACUUCUUGAUACCCUCAAUCGGCCACACCUGAAUGGAUGGAAAUUAUGGAAUGCACACAACUGCUUAACACUUGGUGCUAGUAAAUUGUACGUACUGAGGAAGAAACUCAUAUCAGUUUUGUGCCUCUGACAUACCUGCAUGCACCUGAUCCUUCCGCCAUUGCUGACGCGGCCGAGGCUGCCGCUGGAGCGGCGGCUGACGGGCAGACCGGCUGUGGACUUGAGCCCCUGGAAGGGUGCGACGGUGGUAGCCGACGAAGCCAUCACGGCGGGGGCCAUGGUAUUGUAUUAUCGGAGGAGAGGAGGAUGCCGGCUACAGGUGAGGCCCCCAUUGCCGGGUCACUACGGUAUAUAUAGCCAGACACUUAGCGCCGUUUCUUUGGUACAGAUGUGGUUGGGGUGGCUGACGUUCUCUGGUUGCCUCGUUUCCUUAUCUUCUCCGGAUCAGUGGAAGAAGCAUGGCCGUCGGAUGCAUUGUGUGUGCUGGAAAUUUCAGUCCUUCAUGUCAUUGGGUGGCUGCCACACAACCUUUUUCCAGCUUUUCUUGUUUUUGGUUUCAUUUGAAGCCAAAAGUUUCUUGAGUACAAAUUUUCUGAGAUGCGACUUGAGUGGUGGUGUGGGCAAAAUAUUUUACAUUUUAUCAUAAGAUCUGAUGGCUCACUCCCUUGAAAGUAUGCCUAUAGGCAUAGAGUGUGCGUGUGUGCAUUUAUAGGGGGUGUUAUACAUGCGCGUAUGCGAAUGUCUACUUUUGUACACCGUUUCUCAAAAUAAAAUAUAUGUUUUGUUGGUACAAUUAAUUGACCUAGCAUAGUAACCUCCACACGUAGAACAAGUUCUUUCCCCUCUCGCAAGGUAACUAUUGAAAGCUUUCCACCCCUCUAUAUCCGCCAGUGAGCCUGUGGAUCCGCCUCCCCUCUGCGGGAAGGGGGAUUCCUGGUGCCUCGGCUCUGGCUAAUAAACAAGUAGAAUUUUAGUCCUCAUGGGUGAGGUGCUUGGACGGAUGGCGGUCUUUCUUCUUCGAGCCAAUCUUUCGGGAUCCUAUCCUCUUCAAGUUCCUCUGUCGGGGGAGCUCCGACGUAGACUCCUGCCAGUUCCUCAGGCGGUGAGGUUAGGAUUUCUCAUCAUGCGUACGCACAAUGAGAUUUGGUGUCAGGUUCUUUAAAUCGAUUCAGGGAUUCAACAGCGAUGGCUGCGGCUCCGGAGCACUGGUCCUUAGGGGCAUGUGCAUGGAGACUUCCUGACUGUCAUCGACAAAGUCAAGGUAGCUCUAGAGUGGGAGCAACGACAACGGUGCAUUAGUGGCUUGUCUCUGUGCGUAGGAACGAAAAGAAAGCCCUAUAUCUCAAAUUUUUGACAACUCUCCGUGACAAUGGGCAUAACUUAUUUUAAACAUCAGUGGGUAGGAACAAAAAGCUCUAUAUGUCAACUAUUAACAUGUAUGGCUAAAUAUGUACCUUGCAUUAUAGGAUAUGGCAAUCGAUCAAAAAGGUGGGCAGUCUCUCACGUAACAUUGUCUCUCAAGUAGGGCUGCAAAUGAGUCGAGUUCGAGCGAGUUGGACUUGCCUCAGCUCAACUCAUAUUAAAAUUCGAGCGAGCUCAAACUGAGUGAAGCUCAAGGUCAAGUUGUAGAACGUGACUCAUGCUUAACUUGUAAGAUCUUGAGUCGAUCUCGAGCUAGUUUCGAGUUAAAUGAGAUGAUAAAAUCUAUUAAAUUUAUGACUAUUAUUCCAACUAGAUAAGCACAACACGACAUAAAAAGGCACAAAAAAUAUUUUUUCAAUCAGAACAAUGAUAAUACAAUUUUCUUUUGAAAUGAUACAAAUUUUGUUAGAAGUAGUUUAACUUAUUCUAUCACAACCGAAAGUCUAGUAUCAACUAAGAUAACGAUUCACGAAGGUGCAUAUGCUAGGAACUUUUAGCAGAAACAACAGAAUAUUUAACACAUGACCGACCAUGUACCAUAAAAAAGCCUAAAUUUUCUCUACAACUAAUUAAGCUUCGAUGUCUGUUUGUAAACAAAAUGGUGAAAAAUCCAGGAUGACACAUAUGGUAUUAAAUUAUCGUAUUUUCAUUUAUUAUAUGGAAUGAUCAUUUAACAUAAUGAUAUUAGGCCGAGCUAUCGAGCUAAAAUCGAGCGAGCCAGUAUUGGCUCAAGAUCGGCCCAUUUCUUGAAUGAGCUAUAGAAAGUGUUCGUACUCAACUCGUUUCUUUUCAAGUUGAGUCAAAAAACGAGUUGAUCUCGAGCCGCUAUCGAGCCUCAAGCUUUUCUUACAACCUUACUUUCAAGCAGUGUCAUGUUGACACAACUCAAUCAUCCUACUUCUCAUCCCAUAUCAGCGGCGGAUAACGAAAAGACAUUAAUAUCAAAAGGCCUGGACCGAAGGUAAUAAGUUCUAUGGACAACCGCGAUCCCUAGAAUAAUUAUGUUCCUCUCAUGAUAUUGAUGCCCUGUCACCUGGAGGUCUCUCGAUUUGCACGCCUCUCUCCCAUAGCCAACGAUUACUCAAAUAACAUCACAUAUAAAAGAGUUUAAGAGUUGUUACAACCCAUUAGGGAGACCGUGAUGGGGGGACGAGAAGGGGUAUGGGUGAGGACGGAGUGGCGACGGCAGCGCUUCUCCGGCAUUGCCUCCUUCAAGGUUGCAAUGAUAGAGAUGGAGGCUUGGCACAACCCUCAAGUGUUUUUUGAUAUCGAUGGAGCUGGACGUAUGGAUUGUGUCCCCGAGUGGCUAGGGUUGGAGGUGUAUUUAUAAGAACUCUCCAAAGCCUCCUUCGUUGAUGUAGCAUCUCUACUUUGCUCCAAGUGCUCUAGGUGAGCCCAAUCUUUUCCAAAACAUCCCUUGAUGGCAAAGAAAGUAGUAGGAACAUACCGGGACAAAAUCCUUGAGGAAUCCCCGUCUGAAAGGGCAGCUUCUCAUUUUUUUAUGCAUCAAAGGUUGUCAAACGCUUUAGACUCUUUGGUAAAAUCGCCGCAACUUUUACAUCCGAACUCUGUUUUUGACGUUCAUGUGCUCGUUGGAAUGACGAUUACGGCGCCGAUGCACUUGUGGUAUUAGAUAUUGAUUUUGAGCACUUUGGAAAACAACUUUUUUCACUCUCUGAAAUGCCCAAGUCUGGUGUCUCGAUGUCCUUCGUUUGGAUCCUUUUCAUCGUGUUAAGUGAGUGAGAGUUCCACAUUACGUACAAACACACAAAGAAAGAUAAUACUGAUAUGAACAAAUAAAGAAUAAAUAUUAUGCAAUGCUCGCGUUGAAAAUGUUAAAUACUGGAGAUCAUGCAUAUGGGCAUGUAAUUGGCUCAAUGGCACAUGAUAUAUGGAGAUAAUAGGUGACAAAUGAGCUCUAAACGUGCGUAAAAGUAGGAGCUAUCACUUGGAUCAAUUAGAUACUAUCUUGUGGAACACCUUACAUCCUUUUGAAUGGUGUACCUAGUAGGCAAUUCCAAUGAAAACAUGGGAUUCACCAGGGUGACACACCGUUACCACUUCUAUUUUUCUUGGCAGUGGAUUUACUUCAAUCUAUCCUUAGUGACAUGUAUCAUCGCGGGAGCUCUUUUUUCCAAUCCCAUCUCAUGAUCUAAACUCUCCAAUUGUGUAGUAUGUUAAUGAUAUGUUGUUGAUUAUGCCGGAUAUUGAUUCUCAGCUUCUUGACCUAAAAGAAAUGCUACAACUUUUGUCUAAAUCCACUUGCUUGAAAGUGAAUUUUGGUAAAUCCUCCAUGGUUCUUAUAAAUGUGAUUGACGAUGAAGCUUCUCAUUGGCCAGUUUGUUUGAGUGUCAACAGGGUAAGAUGCCUUUCACUUACCUGGUUUACCUAUGGGUAUCACUAGGCUCAAGAUCUAGGACUUAAUGCCUUUGGUUGAUAUAAUGAAAAGGAAAUUGGCAGCUAGCUCUUCUCUGCUCUCACAAGGUGCUAAAUUAAAACUUUUGAGGUCUACCAUUUCAUCUAUACCGACAUACUAUCUUUGUAGUCUCUAGAGUCUAGACCCCCCUUGGUAUAAUUAAACAACUGGAGAGAAUUGAGCAGAAUAUCUCUGGCGUGGCAAUGCUGAUAGCUCAAAUCAACCAUUCGUGAUAUGUCAUCUGGUAUGUAAAUCAAAGGAGAAUGGUGGUAUUGGUAUCAUUAACCGUCAUAUUCAAGACCAACCUUUGCUUACAAAACACUUGCACAAAUUUUAUAAUAAAGUUCAUAUUCCAUGGGUAACUUUGAUAUAUAUUUCUUACUAUCAUGGAGUCAUACCUGAUGUAACAGUCCUUCGUGGUUUUUUUCCGGUGGAGGGAUAUUUUGGAACUUAACGAUCAGUACAUGACAAUCUCUUCAAUCAAAGUUAAUAUUGGCAACUUUGCCCUGUUCUUGUCUGAUGCCUGGUUGAUUGAGGGGUCUUCUCUACCUCUUCGACAUCGUUUGGAAAGGCUCUUUUCAUUGCCUUCUAUGACAAUAAUUCUGUAAGAUUUUACAGAAACCCCUCAUUAGGCCACUCUUUUGCACCUGCCAAUUUCUGCUGAGGCGAUGGAUGAAUUGUAACCUCCGGAUGGUUGGUUACAUAGCCUUAAGGGAAACCCAACCCUGUCUGAUGUUUGUUCUUGGUAAGGAGAAUCAUUUUCCGCCAAAAGCUUCUACUGCAUGAUGCACAAGCACAUGCCCACCGAUGAACCUUGCAAAUGGAUAUGACAGAGCACCAUGAAGAUCAAGAUCUUUGCUUAGAUCCUAUUAUUUUAUCGGUUGAACGCUCGGAAAUUGCUUCUUAGAAGGCACUGACAUUCUGCUCGGAUUGAAACCCAUUGUGCUCACAUGAGCGAAGAGACCACUUGUUUUUCUCCUAUAAUUUUAGUCAAAGAAUUUGGACUUAUUUACAGAUUGAUUGGAGCCCCAGAUGAAACACUAGAUAAUGUAUUGAUGUUGCAUGUAGAUGACGUUUUUUCGUGAAUACACUAAGCAACGUAUCAUUUCAUUGAUAGGUGGAAAGAAAGAGUAUAGGGUGCAGCUCUCACGGGCAUACAUGCAAUGGCGUCCGUGAGAGUGCAGAGCGAGCAGCGGAGGAGGAUGAUCAGCCUCGAUGCCGCAUGGUCAGGUUACAGGGAUGAUUCUAUGUAAUCCUCGAUCGUCGUCCUUGGCCCACCGACGCGCGUCGUCCUUGAUUAGCUGCCCAAGGUCAUCUGUGGAGGGUCCGGCACCGUUGACAAUGGCCGCAUUUCGAUGUUUCCAGAUAGCCCAAGUGGUGAGAGCGAUAAUGAAGUUUAGGCCUCGUCUGAGGCUAUCCGGGGAUGCUGCCGUGGCCUGGAGCCAACAGUCGAAGAAGAUGGUCGAGCCUAGUAUGGGUGGUGUAACCAGCCAACACCAAGAAAGAAUCUCAUGCCAAGUGAACCACGAGAUGACACAACUAGUGAGGAGAUGGUCGAUAGUCUCUAGCUCCUGGGAACAGGAGAUGCACUCUGGAUCGUGCGGGAGGCCGUGCCUUGCACGACGCUUCGCAGUCUAGCACCGAUCGAGGAAUACGAGCCAAAGGAAGAAUUUGUUGGUAAGAGGGGCCCAGCCCUUCCAGAUCAAACGCCAAGCGGGCGGGGAGGUUGAUCCAAAGAAGAGCGCCUUGUAGCAGGAUUUGACGGAGUAGAUACCACUAGCAUUCCAUUUCCAACUGAUUUGGUCCGGGGCAUGACUGAGUUGGAUGCCCUGAAGAUGACGCCAGAGAUCGAUGUAUUGGACCACUUUGAUGGGACCUAGAUUGCAGUGGAUAUCGUGAAUCCACGCUUGCUGGUGAAGGCCAUCAGAAACCAGGGUGCGGCGGUGCCGAUGUCGCGGCACAAGAGCAAGCAGUGCCAGAGCGAGCUUAGAGAUGGUGUCGGUUCUAUAUCCGGCAUAUCUCGUAGUAGGGGUCCUAAGCUAGGCGUCUUGGAGCGAUGGUAACACGGACACAUGGUUUUACCCAGGUUCAGGCUCUCUCGAAGAGAUAAUACCCUACGUCUUGCUUUUGAUUGUAUUCAUAUGGGGGAUAGUACAUAGUACAUGUGUCUACCACGAGAUUGUUCUAAUGAACAUAAGUUGAUCUAAUGACUAGCCUGGCCUCGGUUUAUACAACACACCGGAGGCCUAGGGUUUAGAGGAGUCCUCGUCUUGUGCACCAAAUCUUGUGUAAACCUCCUUGUAUGCGGCAUGGGCUGCCCGAAGUGGCCCAUUAGUACACCGCCAUGGGGGCCCUCGGCACGAUCCAGCUGGUCGAGAGACGACGUGGUGAGUCCCCCCCCCCCGAGUCCAGGACACUGUCAAAUGGCCCUCCCGUCGAGCCAAUGGUUGCACCAGAAACGACAAGUUUUGUCGUCGCCGAGGGUCCAAGUGGUCGACGCACGGAAGAACUGCCUGGUCUCAUCAUCACAAGGCACCUCAAGAUGGUGCCAAGGGAGGGAGGGGUCAGUGGUCUGCAGCCACAGCCAUCGGGCAUGCAAGGAGAUACUGGUGAGGUGGAGAUCGCGCACGCCAAGCCCACCAUACUCCAGCGGGCGACAUACGCGCCUCCAAUUAACAAGGCAACAGCCGGACUUGGCAUCCUUCCUAGCAUGCAAUAGGAAGUCACGAAUGAUCUGGGUGAUUUUCUUGAGGAUCAUUGGGUUGAUGACCAUGAAGAGGAGAAUUUGGACAGGUAUAGCAGACAGGACAUGCCGCACGAGGGCGAGUCGCUCGGUGCGUGAGAGAAGCGAGGCUUUCCAGGUGGCGAGUUUCUUGGUAAGUUUUUCCAACAGUGGGAGGAGCGCCGAUGUGGGAGUCUUGCGGACCGAGAGGGGAAUUGAUGUGGACCAGAUCAUGACCAAGGCAUCCAAGAGUAAGGUUAAUGCUAGCACAAAUGCUGAACCAUUCGAGCAUCUAAAUGAAGACAAGGUCAAAACCAUUAUCUUUGUUGGGAAGCUUCCGGUGCCUAUUUUGGGAGAAAUGACACAUCAGAUUUCCAGCAGCAACUUCCCACCUAAACCUAAUUAAUUCUGGAAGUCUCUAGCACUUUAUAGAGGCUGGAAGAUAUGGUCUUAGAAGUCAGCUUUCAUUUAAAAAAAAUUGUGCAUCAUUUGAGGUCUUGAGUCAAAAGUUGUGCAAGUUUCCAUGCAAGCUGUCCAGGAAUUUAUUACAGCGCGAGGCUCAACAAGUUUGCUCCUGCUACAGCUUCGGGCUCACGAAUUUACCCUUCUUUUUGAGUUGUUUUCACACCUAACUAGUGGGUGCUUCUAGUAUAAAUACUCCCUAGCUGUUCCAUGUGAGGGGGGAUGAGAUUUCUGAGUUUAUGUUUGUAGACAGCCGGUGAGGUUGUGUUGUGCUGUGAGCACUAGUAUCGUCGAGUGUUAGCUCGUGUGUGUGGAUUGGAGGGCCUGUCCUCAAUUCAUAUAGGAUCCUUGUGGUUCCCUCUUGUGAUUCUUCAUAGGUUCACAAGCUUCAUGGUUUGGGUUGCAUCCUUGUAAACCCAGCUAGUUGUCCGCUGCAAUUUAUCUGAGAGUGUUUCCUCUUGUUCUUCCCCCUUGAGAGAAAUAAAGUUUGUUGAAACAAGUAUCGAGUGAGUUUGUUGCUGCUCCUUGUGAGUUCUUUGGCACCGUGAAAGAUCGUUUCUGAGGCAUCCCACAUCAUCUUGGCAUCAGAGCUUUAGGUUGUUCGCGGUGCAAUUUUUUAUCUUGCUGAUUUUGUUCUUGAGAAGCUUCCAUGGGUUCAAGGAGAUCCAGCAGUGUUGAUGGUGUGCAUGGAGGUGCCGGCACCUCGUGGAGGAGGAGCUGCCACUCCCCGUAUAUGAUCCAAGCUUGCAGCCCGCCUAUGUGUUGGCAUUGGAGAAUACACGAGAGUAUGUGUUGAACAAGGUGGAGAGGCGCAUAUCGGCCGUGGAGACCAACCUUGGCCAGAUAAUCGACUCCCUCACCGAGGAACUCCGUCGAGAUAGGCUUGCUGUACGGGGUCGACAUUGACAAAUCCCCAAACAGCAGGGCCAACGCCACCUUGAGGAGGAGCAUGGAGAGCACAACCACGUCUACUCGGGUGAUGCUCAUAGCUACUACGCUGCACCACCUCGGCGUGCUUGCUAUGACCAGCGAGGUGCUACUUGGGCACCACUGUCACCACCAUGAGAUGGGCUUGUGGAACGGGUUCGACAUCGACAACUCCCCAUACAGCAGGACCACCAUGGAGAGCAUUGGAGCGACCACUCCGAUGAUGCUCGAAACUACUACGAGCCUCAACCAUGACGUGUUCAUCAUGAUCAUCGCGGAGAAGGCCAAGAAGGCUUUGCCAUGGGAGGAAGAGGUCAUGGGCGUGCUCAUCGUGACCAUGAAGAUGAUGGGAUUGGUAAAUUCAAACUUACCAUACCAUCGUUCAAUGGGAAAACCGAGACCGAUGAUUAUUUGGAGUGGGAGAUGCGUGUGGAUUAGAUUUUUGACAACCACCGCUAUACGGAGGAGAAGAAGGUACGAUAUGCAUCCAUUGAGUUUACUGGAUAUGCUUUGAUUUGGUGGAACCAAUUGUGUCGUGCUGGAGGUCGUCCAGAGACAUGGGUGCAAAUGAAAGAUCUGUUGCGGAGACGGUUUGUUCCUGAAUAUUUCACAAGAACCUUGUACAAUCGACUCCAACGGUUGUGCCAAGGUAAUUCUAGUGUUGAUGAGUACUAUAAAGAGAUGGAGAUUUUGAUGAUUAGGACAACGGUGAAUGAGCCCGAGGAGGCCACAAUGUCAAGAUUCUUUCAUGGACUGAAUGAAGAUGUGCAAGAAAGGAUAGAGAUGAUUACAUAUCAAGAUUUGCAAGAACUUGUGCAUCAAGCUAUUCGUGUAGAGCAGCAGCUGAAGCGUCGCCAAAAUCGCAGCCAAACCUAUACAUCAAGCACUUGAAGAAGUUCAGCUCAACGAGAAGUAGACGGAAGUGUCGCUGCAGAUUUUCGCUCACACAACAAGAUGACUACAAAGGAAGCUAAUGCAUCAAAGGUUGAAUCUUCCAAUACUUCUGCCACUCGCGUUAGUAAUAUUCAGUGCCAUACAUGCAAGGGUAGAGGUCACUUCAAGAAGGAUUGUCCUAAUCUGAAGAAGGUUUUACUCACAAAUGAUGGAUAUGUCACCGAUGACUCAAGUGACAAAUCUGAAUCUGAGAAGAAAGAUGCAAAUUAUUGUACUUUUGAGACUGGAGCACCUCUGAGUUCAGAUGGAGGAGAUGGUGUUAAUCUCAUGGUUCGCAAAGUGGCUCAUGAUGAUGCUCCUAUUAUUGAGAAGGGCCAGCGACAAAAUGUGUUCCAAUCCAUUUGCAAGAUCAAGAACAAAAAUUGCAAGGUGGUCAUCGAUGGAGGCAGCUACAACAACAUCAUUAGUAGUGAUCUUGUGCAUGCUCUUGGGAUGUCAACAUGGAGGCAGCCCCAGCCAUAUUAUGUGAAGUGGCUGAAUGGUGUUGGUAAGUUGAAGAUUACGCAUCAUGCGAGGGUGCAAUUUUCAGUGGGAAGUUAUGUGGACAAAGUGGUAUGUGAUGUGGUGCCAAUGCGAGCUUGUCAUCUUCUUUUGGGAAGACCGUGGCAGUUUGAUCAUGAUGCUACUCACCAUGGGAGGUCUAACAAGUAUUCUUUCAUGCAUCAAGGAGUGAACCAUGUCUUGGAACCUAGGGUGGAUCAAGUACUCAAGGUUGAGCAAUUCCCACAAGUGAAGAAGCCCAAAAAGAAUACCUCAAAACCGAGGAUGGUUUUGUUUGAAGGAAGGGAGGAUGAUGUGGACCAGAUCAUGACCAAGGUAUCCAAGAAUGAGGUUAGCACAAAUGCAGAACCAUUAGAGCAUCCAAAGGAAGACAAGGGAAAAAACAUUAUCUUUGUUGGGAAGCUUCCGGUGCCUAUUUUGGGGGAAAUGACACAUCAAAUUUCCAGCAGCAACUUCCCACCUAAACCUAAUUAAUUGUGGAAGUCUCUAGCACUUUAUAGAGGCUACAAGAGAUGGUCUUGGAAGUCAGCUUUCAUUUAAAAAAAACUAUGCAUCAUUUGAGGUCUUGAGUCAAAAGUUGUGCAAGUUUCCAUGCAAGCUGUCCAGGAAUUUAUUACAGCGCGAGGCUCAACAAGUUUGCUCCUGCUACAGCUUGGGGCUCACGAAUUUACCCUUCUUUUUGAGUUGUUUUCACACCUAACUAGUGGGUGCUUCUUGUAUAAAUACUCCCCGGCUGUUCCAUGUGAGGGGGGAUGAGAUUUCUGAGUUUAUGUUUGUAGACAGCCGAUGAUGUUGUGUUGUGCUGCGAGCACUAGUAUCGUCGAGUGUUAGCUCGUGUGUGUGGAUUGGAGGGCCUAUCCUCAAUUCAUAUAGGAUCCUUGUGGUUCCCUCUUGUGAUUCUUCAUAGGUUCACAAGCUUCAUGGUUUGGGUUGCAUCCUUGUAAACCAGCUAGUUAUCCGCUGUAAUUUACCUGAGAGUGUUUCCUCUUGUUCUUCCCCCUUGAGAGAAACAAAGUUUGUUGAAACAAGUAUCGAGUGAGUUUGUUGCUGCUCCUUGUGAGUUCUUUGGCACCGUGAAAGAUCAUUUCCGAGGCGUCCCGCAUCAGGAAUCCCAAGGUAGACGAUCGGGAAGGUGGUGACCGCGCACGUCAGCGUCGAACCAACAACAUCAGCCACGGUAUCAUCACAUUGAAUAGGGGUGGCAGAGCACUUGAGAAAAUUGGUGCGUAAGCCCGAAGCUUCAUAGGGAAGAGGCCAACCUUUCCUGCUUGGUGUUGUAAAUUUGUACAUGACAUCUCUUCUUGUAGAUAGAGUUAAUGCUUACCAAAGCUCCUGGAUUGGAUUUGUAAUCUCCAUUAGAUAAAUAGGUAGGUAGGAAAGUGUGGUUUUUCCUUUUUCUUGGUUCCCUUUGUAAACAUUUUUUGCUAGCUUUUGUUUUGAUGGAAUAAAGGACUGGAGCUGUUGCUCCAUAGUAGUUACAAAAAUUCAAGAUUUUUAUUGAUUUUUCACUAGUAUGAUUACACUCCUUCACAAAGGAGCUCUUUUUUUUUGAAAAGGAGGAUGUACCCCCGGCCGCAUCUGGGCUAUGCAUGUAGCCAUAAAGGAGCUCAUGCAAUGCAUGUUGGAGAUUUAUUUCAAUAGUUCCAUAACAUGUUUUGAAUGCUGUUGCUAUCUAGUUCAGUUAGAUGCUUAUUAUCCAGACCAACAAAAGUUCUUUAGUAAGGGUCUCUACAAGAAUAUCUUUCAUCCUAUUCUACUAGCAAAACCGAUGUAGAUGCUGGUAGUGACAUGGAAAAGAAACCAUAAUCUUUUUGUAUUGAUAUAUAAGUAAAGAAACUGAAAUUUGCAACUGCAAAUCAGGGGAUCUUAAUGUCAAAUACUGAAUGCUUCCACAACUAGUUGUGUGACAUAUUCAUUGCAGUGCCAAAUAAAGAAACUUUUCCAUGAAUUAAUAACAUCAAGACAAUGGUCCGCAUGUUUUAUAUAAUAAAUAUCACACAGGUUUUGUAUAUGUGUAGCCGGCUCUAGAAUUUACAUAUGCAUGCUCGAGAAUCUAUGUUCGUACAUACAUACACAGACCAUAUAGAAUGAAAAAUAUGCUCUGGUCGUCCAGCAGAGUCGUGGACAAAAGUGAAGUUCACAAAAGACCUUCAUACAUAGGCCAUUGUUUCAACUCGUAGUUUAGGCCUUGCCAGACUCCUCGCAACCCGGUGGCCUGAAGGCAAUGAAGCUGACGCACUGCACCUGGCGUAGGUUGUCGAAGCCGAUGACGCGGACAUAGGCGUCAGGGUACUCCUUCUUGACCUCCUCCAC